rnacentral:lncRNA from 1 species
UGCCCUUGGUGCUUAAAAUGGUGUCGCUGAACUGGACAGACAUGCCAUGGACCAACGGAGGUCCGUCUUAGAUGUAAGUUUCAUUAGUAUAUGAUCUUUGAAUCUUCUUUCAUAGCUGAAUUUUCAGUCUUAGGUUUUGUUUGUGAUUAUAUUAUCUUAGAUUGAAAUAAUUAAUAAAUAAGCAAAAGUGUUUCAUACUUGGAAAUAGUGGCAAUGACGUUAGAAUUGGGCAUGGUAUGGCAUAUGAUCUCUAAAAGAUGUUGGGAUAUUCUUACCUAGAGCUUCAGUGAGAUGCAUUCGUUGAAAUAGAUGUUCUUUAAAGAUUAAAAAAUUACUCCCUCCAUCCCAUAAUAUUAGUGUAAAAAACGUUCUUAUAUUAUGGACUCUCUCCGUCCCAUAAUAUAAGAACGUUUAAAAAACAUUGUUAUAUUAUGGGACGGAGGGAGUAGAUGGUAUGGGGAUUACACUCCUGUGUAGAUUUAUAUUACUAGAAUAUUUGCUAAUAUCAAGUUUAUCUAGGUGUUUAUAAGGGCUUGUUUGGUUCCAAUAAGUCACCUGACUUAUAAGUCAGGUGACUUAAAAUCAGUGACUUAUAAGUCACGCUUGUUUGGUUACCACCUGAUUUAUAAGUCACCUGAGCAUACCUUUCUACCUUGUUUUUUUAUGUAAAGGUGGUGGGACCCAUGCAAAAGGGGUGACUUAUAAGUUUUAAGUUGGGGUGGAGCAACUUAUGACUUAUAAGUUGGAUCCGUUUGGCAAAAUAAGUCACUUUUUACACUUUUCGACUUAUAAGUUGGUGACUUAUUUGAAAUCAAACAGGGCCUAAAUUGUUGUUCACUAGGAUUCCUUCACGUGAUCAUUCAUGCACACCUCGGGAAACAACCUUAUUAAUCCCCUUCUCUGCACACCAUUCUCUCGAGGUUGCAGGCACAUCUUAUAACCAUGUGCUGCGAGAACGAACACAUUCCGUUCAGUUGGAUUCAUAUUUUUCUUGCCUUCAUUUUUUGUUCUUGUGUAUUCAUGUCACGAAUCUAAUUUUAUUACUCCCUACGUACAAAAGGAAUUUCGGGUCGUAGUUCAAUUUAUUUAUUUUUCAAAGAACUUCUUAUACAUAUAGUUCUCGUAGUACUAAUCAGCCCAUCUCCACCUUCCUCCUUCAACCGUCGCCACCAUCGGCAGCUUCCCGAAGCCCAUCCGCCGUUGGGCAUCAACCAUGCCCGCGCGCUACCAAGCUCAGCUCGUAGGACCAGCGCCAUCGCCGCCCACCUACGACGCCGCCGAAUCCCUGCAUCACGCGGAUGGCCUCCGCCUCCUCGCCGGAGCCCCCGCCACCAGCUUCCAUCUCAUAUGCCAGCGCCGCCCCCAUGUAUCCUCCGUGAGUCAUGCCCCGAGCUUCCCGCUGGUGCACUUCCUCUGGCCGCAGGAGACCACCGCUUCUGCCCACAUGUGUUGCUCCCACCUCCACUGUUGGCUUUGCUUCUGAUCCAUCGACCUCAACUUCCUCCCGCCUCCUCCGCUGCCUCUGCCGGUACUCCUGUACAAAUCCAGAAGUGAAAUUCAAUUACUCCGGCAGUAUUAAUCCAAUACUGAAAUUCAAUUAUGGAUCAGGUAGCCAUACAAAUCCAGAAAUUAAAUUGGACUGGUUGUGCAAUCUGCAAGUUAAAUACUUAAAUCUGCGUCGUCCUAGUGUUAAAUCUGCAACAUAGAUAGAUCCUUUGCAGUGGAUCAUUCAGUUCUUUAAUUAGUUUAAGUGGCUUUUAAAUAGUGUGGGUCAGCAGUAGUGGAUCAGGAAACUUGUGCCUUUGGUCUCUUUAGUUGAAGUGUUAAAUCUGCACAUUCAUAUUCAUAGUAGAAAAAAAUUCAGAAACAAGCAACUAAAUGAGAUGAGAUGAAAUGGAAGCAGAGCAAAACUAGAGGCAGAGGAACACAUUUUCGACAGUCGUAGAGCUAUGUAAGCUAGUGUUAUAGGGCAGCCAAACCUAUACUCUAGUGUUGUAGAGGAAACAAAGCAGCAAAGCAACAGAACUGUAGUGCUAAAUUUAACCUAUUUUUCAGUAAACUGAAUCCACAUUAAUAAUGUACUCCAAGUCCUUGAUAUUGUGUCAAGUUCAAAUUAAUUAGGAGUAAAAGUGUGUUGUUCCUAUGAUAGUGUUGAUUGUGCUGAAGUGUGUUAAAAAAUUAGAUGUUCAGGGAUAACACUAAUUAUAGGCUUCUGCUUGUUUAAAGCGUUACAAGAUAUGAUAGAGCACGUUUUUGAUAGCUAGAGCACAAACCUAGGAAAGCAGGACAUCAUAAGUGGGAAGCUUCAGGUCAUCCUUAGUGUUUCCAAUCUAAGUUAGAAGGCUGACUUAAGGAGAACCUGAACCUAAAGCCACGGUGAAAGGUUCACCUGAAACUAAUUUUCUUCAGCAGUUCAGCUAACAUAUUUUUCUUCAACAUACUGUAGUAUACCUUCAAAGAGAACACCUGCUUCUCUAAAUUCUAAUUUGCCUUAACCACCUUAUGGUACUUCUCCUGAUAAAUCAAAUGUAAAUGAAAUUAGUGCACUAAAACAAGCAAAGGAGUGGCUUAGAUACAAAAUUUACAUAGCAGUGUACCAUAACUCUCUCUCUCUCUCUUAAUUUUCAUCUCUGAACUAGAUUCUCUUCUGAUGGACUUAACUGAAAUGCAAUGGAACUUUGCUGGGAAUUCAUAGUGCUUAUUUUUAGUUGAAAAGAUUUACACUGUUAGUUGACAAGAUUUACAUUGAAUCUUGCUCAAACCGAAUGUUGCUCAAACUAAACUUAUAGAGCAAUUAAUACAUAUGAGAUUGUCAAAACUAGAUUUUUGAGAAAUCAAGCUCAUUAGACUAGAUUUUCUCAAAACUGACUGAAUGUAGCUCAUCGGUAUCCACUCAUUCCUUACAUAGCGAAGGUACAAACGGUGGCAGAGGCGCAGAGCACGAUUCUCGUCGUGCUUGCGAUCUGGGGCCUGCGACUGCACCAACACCAUCAUCGAAAGAAUGCAGAUUUCGUCAGGGGCACACGCGGAACCGAGCAAACAUAACCCGCACUCGUGAAUCUGUGAAACCUAGGGCACGGAUCGAGAAAUCCCGAGCACAAUUCGCUCGCGGAUCGGAUGAAACGGAGGGGAUAAAGAGGAUGCUUACAGCCUGAGCUUGUGGCUGACGUCGCGGCUGUAGCUGUAGUAGGUGCUCCGGAGGUGGGCCUUCAUGGCUUGAAGUGCUCUGAUCGGGCGGUGGGCGGCCAUCCUUGGCGGAGGGGGCAAGUGGAGCUGGUCAUGAUACCUCAGUAAGAGUCACCAACCGCAGCUAAAGAGUCCCACCUCCCGAGCACCUACUGCAACUUCAUCUGCGACGUGGGCCACAGUCUUAGGCUGUAAGCAUCCUCUUUAUCCCCUCCAUUUCAUCCAACCCGCGAGCGAAUUGUACUUGGGUUUUCCCGAUCUGUGCCCUACGUUUCACGAAUUCGUGGGCGUGAGUUACAUUUGCUCGGUUAUGUGUGUGCGCUUGAUGAAAUCUGCAAUCUUUUGAUGUUGUUGUUGUUGCUGCUGUAGGCCCCAAAUUACAACCGCGCCAGGAAUCGUCUUCUUCCACCGUUUCUACCCCCACGCCAUCAGGAACGAGUGAGUACUGAGGAGCUUGAUUCAGUAACUUUUGAGAAAAUCUUGUCUGAUGAGGUGAUUCCUCAAAAAUCUAGUUUUGACAAUCUCGUCUAUAUUAGUUGUUGUGAAAGUCCAGUUUCAGAAACAUUCAAUUUGACCAAGACUCAGUGUAUACUAAUAGUGUAAAUCUUUUCAAUUAACAAUGUAAGCACUAUGAAUUUCCAGCAAAGUUUCUUUGCAUUUCAAUUAAUUCCAUCAGAAGAGAAUCUGGCUCAAAGAUGAUAAUUAACAGAGAGAGCUGUGGUAUACUGCAGUGUAAAUUUUGUAUCUAAGACACUCCUGUCCUUGUUUUGGUGCACGAAUUUCAUUUACAUUUGAUUUCUCAGGAGAAGUACCAGAAGGUGGUUAAGGCAAAUGAGAAGCUGGAGAAGCAGGUGUUGUCUCUGAAGGUAUACUGCAGUAUGCUGAAGAAAAAUAUCUUAGCUAAAGAAAUGUUACUUUCAGGUGAACCAUUUCACCGUGGCUUCAGGUUCAGGUUCUCCUUAACCCAGCCUUCUAACAGGGAGUGACAACACUAAGCUUCCCAUUGAGGAAGCGCACUAGCAGGGAGCUCGGUGCCCGACCCAUGUACGCCCUCUCUUCAACAUGCCACACCAUCUGUGCCGCACAGAGGAGAGAAAGGGGCCGGCGUUGGUAUAGGUGAUGGAGGCCGACUGUGGGGGCUCUGGCAAGGGGGCGGAGGCCAUACGCAUCAUGCAAGGAUGCAGCGGCGGCGCUGUUCCUGCGUGCUGGGGCCUGGUAGCAUACGGCAGAUGCGGUUGGGGAAGCUUCCGAUGGUGGCGACGGGGAAGGAGGAAGGUGGAGACGGACUGAUUAGUACGAGAAUUAUAUGUAUGAGGGGGCUUUGCAAAAAAUAAUUGAACUACAACCCAACAUGCUUUUUUGGACGGAGGGAGUAUUAUAUUUUGUAUCACCUAUGUUUUCUCAGAUGAUCCGAACAUUGUUUGAACAAUUGGAAUAAGAAGUAUCUCUGUUUGUUUUCUCUGAAAAAUACUAUGUAUUAUGUUCCUCUUAUUAACCAUAUAUCUAUGAUUUUAUCAUGAUCAUACUAGGAACAAUCUCUGGUAGACUACAAGUCCUAGAAGGAUUAAAACUCCAAGACCAAAAUUGAGGCUAAUUGAUACAUAGUUUCAAUUAUGUGCAACCUGAUUGCGGUUUCAACAUGGUGAUAAUGUGAAAAUCGACCAUUGUUAGUUAGGGAUUUAUUUAAUAAUUAUAUACAUCGCUCCUUUGCUAUAAGUAAAAUAGAAAUAUCCUUGAAGUCUUUCGUCUGGCUGGCGGAUUGUGAUCCCUGAUUAAUUAUGCUUUUUCUGUCAAUGUUUGUAUAUGAUUACAUUUAUGUUUUAGCACCUUUUGUUAGUUUAGUUAAUUAGCACCUUCUAUUAUUUUAGUUCAUUAUCAACUUCUCGUCAUGUUAAUGUUUGAGUUAUUUAUCAUUAGGACCAUGCCUUGAAUAACUACACUUCAUGGAAUAGUGUUAAUGCACAUGUGCGACUUAAGUUCUAGAAAUUCUUGCAAAAUGCAUUCUUCAGACAUCAGUCAUAAGAACAUAAUUAACAUGUAAUGCUUUAUAUCAAACCAAGAUAUAUUGGCCUAGGUUUAGAUUCUUGUCCAAUAUAUCUCAAUUCAUGAAAUAUAAUUUUUUGCAAGCUAUAUCCUCUGAUGUACCAUUGUUUCAUGCAUUGUAUUUCAUCAUGUAUUAGAAAGAAGCCUUUGUUACAAUGCAAAUUUUGCAUUUGAUUUCACUAAAAUAGCGAUGCAGGUGCAUGGAAAGCAUCUAGCUGGUCUGCUCCCAACACUAGACAUGAACUCACACUCAGUUAUCUCUCAAGUAUGUCCCUUCUCUGUAUUGUCCUAAAGUUCAAAUCUAAUGGGGAUGGUUUAAAUAUGGAAAACUGAAACAAAAUGUGGAGGCCUCCAUUUAGCUUGAGGUAGUAAAUGAGCUCCUAUAUCUAAUAAAAUUUAUUGCCUUGGCAUGUUACUAACUCUAGAUUUUAAAUAUGAUGUUCUUGAGAUGUACUUCUAGGAAAUAUUUUUUUUAGUCUUUUUGUUUUUAUCCAAUAAAACUAUUGAAGUAGGUGUGAUUCAUAGUUUUUUUAUAACAGGGCUAAUAUGUUGUGAUUCAGAACAUCCAAAACAAGUUAUGCCAUGGCUACUCUAAUCAAUCAUAAGAGUCAGAUAUUUGCCUAUUGAGUUUUCUAAUGUCAAUUUGGAAAGUAGAUUACUUAGCCUUGUUAUAUGCAUUGAAUAAUGAGUAGAUCCAUUGCUGCAUAAUUGGCAUCCACGGUUUGUAUGGGUCCGUGGACACCACCUGUUGAUGAGGCAAAAUAAUUUCUCACUAUUCGGUUAUUCUUAUGUUGCAGGAAAGACCAAAUGAUGCUAGACUAUAUUGCUUUUUGUAGUAUAAAUUUUUAUGGGAGGAAUCUGAUUCCAACCAACAAACAAAAAAAGGCUCGGUCCUUCAUAUGAGGUAAACCGUUGCGUUCAAGUAGCAUCAACCUUUGUGCAUAUUUGCUCUUCAUGCAAAAUCAUUGGGUUGUUACUAGGACCGGGAGUACCUCAUUUAUGGUGGCCUCACUGAUCUUAUGCAUGUGCUUAUUUUUAUUGUCCAUAUCUUCAUUUGUACUAAUUCAAGUAAAUUUAAUUUAUCUAUUGGCUUAAUAUGUCUUAGGUAUUGAUAGAGUAAUAUUUCGUUACUUGAUUAAUGGUCAAACAUACCACUUUAGUAUCUUUCUAUAGGUGCCUCAAAAUUGUGCAGUUGAUCAUAGCAUAUUGCUACUCGGAUAAAAAUGUCUUAGUGCUCUACAUUGAAGCUAUCAUAUAUAGUUUAAUUAUUUUAAGCAUUCAUCACCAAAACUACAUUUUGGGAGUGAAAGGCUUCACAGAAUUUAAAAUAUUUUAAGCGUUCAUCAGCUAAACUAUUUUAAGCAUGACAUUGUCCUUGCUCUGUGCCUCUAUGACGUCAAAAAGGAGAAGGAUACAUUCAAGGAGGUCCUGCACAAUACACCGGUAUCUGGAGGUGGAGAGCAUUCAGUUAAUCGUGCCAUACGUGGUGUAGUUCGUGUAAGAGAGGGAUCAUACCGAUGUAAGCUUUGUGUGGGAGUAGCUACUGUUCGAGGUGCUCACGAAGACAUUCCUCAUGAUGUUGGACUAAAACUGCUCUGAAUACUAUAUGUACUCUGUUGUUUUACUUUAUCACAUUCAUGUCUUGAGUAAAAAUCAUUGUCCAUUAACAUCGAGCAGAUAUAUACAACAUAUGAUGAUAAGUUUUUUUUGCUUGAGUAGGGCUCAUAAAUAAUUGUGUGCCUCACAACACUAUGAUAUGAUUUAAGGAAAUAAUUUUCUGCACAUAUACUAAUGUACCACUUUG